rnacentral:rRNA from 1 species
UACAGAGGGGGCAAGCGUUGUUCGGAAUUACUGGGCGUAAAGGGCGCGUAGGCGGCCGCCUAAGUCAGACGUGAAAUCCCUCGGCUCAACCGGGGAACUGCGUCUGAUACUGGGUGGCUUGAAUCCGGGAGAGGGAUGCGGAAUUCCAGGUGUAGCGGUGAAAUGCGUAGAUAUCGGGAGGAACACCUGUGGCGAAAGCGGCUCACUGGACCACAACUGACGCUGAGGCGCGAAAGCUAGGGGAGCAAACAGG